GAUGAACGCUGGCGGCGUGCUUAACACAUGCAAGUCGAACGGAAAGGCUCCUGCUUGCCGGGGCACUCGAGUGGCGAACGGGUGAGUAGCACGUGGGUGAUCUGCCCUGCACUUCGGGAUAAGCCUGGGAAACUGGGUCUAAUACCGGAUAGGACCAUCGUUUAGUGUCGGUGGUGGAAAGUUUUUUCGGUGUGGGAUGAGCUCGCGGCCUAUCAGCUUGUUGGUGGGGUAAUGGCCUACCAAGGCGUCGACGGGUAGCCGGCCUGAGAGGGUGUACGGCCACAUUGGGACUGAGAUACGGCCCAGACUCCUACGGGAGGCAGCAGUGGGGAAUAUUGCACAAUGGGCGCAAGCCUGAUGCAGCGACGCCGCGUGGGGGAUGACGGCCUUCGGGUUGUAAACUCCUUUCGCCAGGGACGAAGCGAAAGUGACGGUACCUGGAGAAGAAGCACCGGCUAACUACGUG
rnacentral:rRNA from 1 species